AAGAGUCUCCUGCCUGUUAUACUUGAGGUCCUUGCCUGCUCGCGGUCCAUCUGGUAGGCGUUGGCGAGGACCACGUCGGGGAGUGAUCGCAAGACGGAGGUCCUGCCAGCUAGAGUGUUGACCAUGGCAUUGUCAUUGGUCUUGAAGGCAAUGUACUCGUACCCGUUGCUCUGGGCUUUUUGCAACACGGCGUGGUUUUGCGGCACGAUGAAGAGUUGUCCCUGGCGGACCUGGUCGUCCAAGAUGGUCUCACCGUUGUCGUUCACCACCUGAACCCUGGCGCUACCUCUGAUGACAUAGAUGAUCUCAUGAGCAUUCAAGUUCCAGCGGGGGCUGUGGAUAGCAUUCUGCAUGUACCAUUACCAGAUAAAUUUCAGGAUUAAUUGAUCAAUAGGUAACUAAAUUUAAUUAUUAGAAACAUACAUGCUAGAAUACUCACGUUGUAGAAGAAACCUCUCUCAGCGCUGAGACGGAGGUGCCUGAGAAUAGGCAUGCUGAAGCUGUUGAGGGUGCUGAUGCGACCGGCUUGUGGGCUGAAGACGUCAGCCAUGGAAGGCUUGCCGAUGUUCUGCUUGAUCUGCAUGUGGCAGAAUACCUCCUCAAAGCCAUUCUGGCGGCCCUGUUGUCCUUGCAGUUGUCUUUCCUCCCUCUGUGACUCUGGUGGCUCGACAAAGUCGAAACGUCCCUCAACCCUAACAAUUUGUGGCCUGUUGUCAUUCUGUCCCUGGAGCUGCUGGACAGUCUGUUGGUCAAUGUUGAGAGCAUCGGCGAGGAGCUGGGUGUCGAAGCCGGCAAAGACAUUGUUGUUGUUGUUACCCUGCUGUUGGCGCCUGCUCCUUCCUUGUUGUCGGCCUUGCUGUCCCCGUUGGCUUUGGCCUUGUUGUCCUUGUUUCCACCAUUGGCUUUGGCCUUGUUGGUUGAACUCAUCUUGCAUGCGGGUUACCAGCAAGAUAGAAUCGCUACAAAUAGAGAUCAAGCAGCAAGCAUUGAGUGAGUUAACAAUGUAAAAUAAGUUGUUAACUUCAUGUUUAGAGUAAAAUUGUCAGUAAAAAGGUGUACCCUCUUGGGUUUUGGUCAAGCUGGUUGUGGUUGUUGCCGAUGUCUAGAAGAGUAACAAAAACAAGAGAUUGAUCACCAUCGUUGUGAGUCCAGGUUGUGGCUCCGGCGGGGAUUGCGAUAACAUCACCUUCCUUGAUGCGUCGCACCCUCUGGUGUCGGUCUAGCUGUUCAAACUCUUGUUGGCCUUGCUCUCCGAAUUGCCCUUGUCGACGUCCGUGUCGCUGGCGGUGGCCUCCGCCUUGUUGGCCUUGCCAUUGUUGUUGCUGUUGUUCUUCAACAGAUUGCUCAGACUCCUCAAAUGUCUCCGGACAGCCAGGGAAUACCAUCCCUAGAUGACCCCUACCUACAGUAGUGUCCAAAAAUAGCAAGCUAAACACAUGCUUAAACACCACUAGGUGCAAUUUACUGAAUAAUAAAUAACGGACUGUUUUGCACUUUACCUUGUACAACGUAAACAAGCCUUGGUGUGUUAGUGUAGGAAGGCAAGUGAAGGCCAUUACGCUCAAUGGUGAUUCUUUGAACAGCAACACCAGCGCACUAGAAGUCAUCCUGGUUGUGAUCCCAAGACUCGAUGCGACCUGCUUCAGUCUCAAUACGGUUGUCAGGCUCGCGGGCUUGGAUCUGGUUCAGCAUGCACACAUUUUGCUGGCUGAACUGAGAUUGUUGCCGACUGGCUAAGCAGCCUUGGAAGAGAACGAGCAAGCAAAGAGAAAAGGCAAGAGCUAAAGGCUUGGCCACCAUUGUAACAAUCAGUGGUAGAUAGCUAGCUGUGGGUUGUGGUGAAGCGGCGAGUAGAUGGCGUCGGUAUUUAGAGGAGAGAGGAGGAGGCGAGGAGGAGAAAAAUACAAGGGAUGAGAUUCUCUUUGCAUGCUAUUAGUAUCUCAAAUUCAUACACCUCAUCUUUAUACCUGGGCAGGUGGCUAUUGGCUUCAGAGGAUAUAUAUACAAAGUGCCGAGAACAAUGUGGCAAACAGGUGGGGGGUGGUCAUGAUUGUCUGCAAGUAAAGCAAAUUGUACUGCCUUGAACCUGGUCAAGUUCAUGAAAAAGUUCAUUCAAGAUAUCAGGUCUAAUCUGUUUCAUGUUUGGUAAAGUAAAUAGAGUAGCAACCUGGACCAUAUAUAAUCUACACAGGUGAGAUAAAAAAACCUUAAUUUACCAUCAUGCAAUAGCCAGAAUCCAUCUUCAAUCCUCUAUGAUUCUAUUAAGACUUAAAGCACAUUUACCCUCUUCAAGAAUUCACAUUCCAGCACUCUUCUAAAUGACUCUACUUGAUGAAAUUCAAAGUACCUCUCGCUAUAUUCUGGGAAUUACUGUGAUCAUCAGAGCAAUUACCUCACCUAUUAACUCAUAGUAUGCUUGAGCUAAUGUGAGAUCAUUCCUUAUAUAAAUGAGAAUGCAAUGCCUAACAUAAGUUUUAUGUGUAUAAUACAAUCAUAAGAGACUCACUGAUUACAAUUAUAUGAAAUAUAUGAAACAAAAGCACAGAAAAUAGACUUCUGGAAAAAGAACAUAUUUCUACAAGUGAAGGCUUAUUAUUUACACUAGUCUCACUGAUUUCCAUUUGGCUCUUCUGACCAAAUAGACUUCUGUAAAAAGUACAACAUUUGAGCCCAUGAUCACCCUCUACUUGGAAAUACCAUUGAUUCUAAAACAUAGUCCUUACAGUAUUUGUGGGAACUAGAUUAUUGGGUCAGUUUAGCUAAGAUUAAACUGUUAACAAAACCAAGCUUUAGAACCCAAUUUAGCAAAAUGAACAUACAAUAGUGUCACACCCCGGACCGUGGUUUCCAAGCACCAGACGCCGAACCCGAGGCGUGAGCGGGAAAAAUAAAAGAAAAUAAAAUAAUUUCAAAUACUUUUCCAGAAAUUGUUAAAAAAAAAGAAAAUAAAAUGUUUUACAAUAACAAAACAAUUACAAAGACAAUAAGAUGAGCCCUUGCGAUCUAGCUCAUUUUUAAUCUUUCGUAACUCUUUUCUACUCUUGUACACGUCUCCUAAACUUCAUAGUCUCGAAAUACGUUCCUCGUACGUACCUGAACAAAAGUCUAUAGGGAUGAGCUUACGCUCAGUAGGGCCAAACCUUUUUAGGUUAUACUUAACUAGGUUGCACAAACAAGUUAUCAAGCAAUGUCAAACAAUACUUUAAAUAAAUAACGGCAAUUCGAUGCAUGUAUGCUAAUGAAUGUCUUCCUCAAUUACUAGCUAUCAGUCCAUACAUCAAAGAUAAGUGAGCCUACACGUCUCAUACCGUGUAUUUUACCAACCGGGGAUAACUCAAAUGUCUCGAAUAUAUGAUCUAACAAUCAAUAAAAUCUCACCACCUGUACCUCUUUUGUUAGUCAUCUUGUUAUAUUCAUGGUCUCCAAACCUGAAACCCGAAGAUCGUUUUAUCGAUGUCCGCCAUCGAAGGGGCAUAUAUACUUUCCCCACUCAUUUGCGCAUGUGGGCUGGCAUGGAUUCAUGGACAACCCAUGAGAAAACUCAACUACACAAAAUGUAUAUAUUCUCUAAAUCUCAUUCUCCUCUCCAUAAUCAUCAUUCUCACCAUUCUCACAAUUCCUCACAAUGUUUUACACACUACAAGGACAAACACUUUAGCCGACGAAAAAGUUUCGUCGGCCUGUUAGCUUAAUUUGUCGGCUAAGAUUUCGUCGGGAAAAGGUCGUCGGCGAUGACUUUAGCCGACGAAAAAAGAAGACGUCGUCGGCUAUAGUCCCACAAUUUAGCCGACAAAAAACAUGUCGUCGGUUUUUUUCCCAGACUUUAGCCGACGAAACAAUAAGAUAUUCGUCGGCUAAAGUGUGUAAUAAAAAAUUAAAAAAAUAAUUAUAGCCUACCAAAUAUAGUCUGUUUCGUCGGCUAAACCUUAUAAAAAAAUUAAAAAAAUAACUAUAGCCGACGAAAUAUAGUAUGUUUCGUCGGCUAAACCUUAUAAAAAAAUUAAAAAAUAAAUAUAGCCGACGAAUAUAGUAUUUAAAUAUCGUCAGCUAAAGUUGCUGGUUUUUGAAAAAAAAAACUGCAGAAACUUUCGGCCAACUCCAAUCACCACCAAAAUUUGAUAGAAUCUUCCUCUCAACAUUUCAAACAACUUUCUAGAAGAAGUCGAAUCCCAAUUCUAAACCUAAACAGGUCAAUUGAAUCAAAAUAUAAAAAUCCCCAAUUUUAAACCCUAAAAACUUCAAAUCUUUGAUUCUCCUCACACACACCGAAUCGAGCUACCAAAUUCUAGGGGAAUGUAGUACUAAUCAAACUCAACUUAUCCAUAUAUAGAACUCACCAAAUGGUGACCUGAGGAAUGAGAAAUUCGAUCGACACCGAAUCCAAACCGGCGGAGUUUUGGAGCUCGAUUUAUCCCUCACGGCGGCGCCACUCGAUGCACCACCUAUCCAGCAAUGAAGUAGAGACAACGACGAAGCUUUUGGGACAAGUGUGGCGGUCUCCAGUUGCUUGACGGCAGAGCUAGGCCGAGAAGAAAAUCCGGAACUUUUUCUGAUUUUCUGACUUCUUACCAUCCACCUCUGGUAAAACUCCUAUAUAAAGAACUUUACCCGACGAAAUUCUUUAUUUUCGUCAGCUAAACUCUUUUGAAAAUUUUUGUUGACCGCCAAAAAAUUUGGUUGAAAAUUUUAAAAAUUUUUCGACUUUAGCCGACGACUUUUCAUAUAUUUUCGUCGGCUAAAGUCCUUUGAAAAUUUUCCUCCAAAUUUGGUUUACCGCCAACAAAAUUUGACCUUAGCCGACGACUUUUUUAGUAUCUCGUCGGCUAAAGUCUAUAAAUUCACGAAAACGCUCAUAUCGAUCUCCCUCUAUAUUACGUAGUUUGGUCAAACAUUCCACACGAAAAACUUUCACAUAGAUGAGACGCAACCGCCUAUAUAAAAAUUUUGAGACAUUUACCUUCCGACGAUAGGGCUCCCCAUAGGGAAUAAUAACGGUAAAUAGGGUUAACCGCUACUAUCGGCACCGAGACGUUACCCAGUUUACGUGGAUUUUGAACCAUAGCCGUAAUUCAUCAUUCUGAACACAUCUUAUUUCACAAGAUUUUUGAUAAUUUUGCUUCCUAUGUUGUAUAACCUACUAAACAAGUUAUACAACAUUACUAGACACGUGAUUCCGAUGACUAAAAUUCACAAACCAAAAUUCGACCAUCAGAUAUGAUCAUUAUGACGAAAGAUGUCUAUAGUAAAAAAUUUAACUGGAUUCGACAACGUUAAGGGCUCGAUCGAAACGGUCAACUCUAAUCGGAAAUAAGAAAACUGCAUUUUGAAGCCCUAAACGGACUCGGAUGGCCAAAAAGGCCCAUAUGUGAUGGCAUAGCGAUGAGUUUGACUCGUAGGGCCGUUACGCUUCUAGAAAUGUAUCACAAUAGUCAAUCGGACGCCGAAUGCCAAAUCUGCAGCAUAAUUAAUACCGGGUUUCGACUGUUCUACAUCAGAGACGUUACCCGAUUUACGUGAUUUUUGAACCAUAGCCGUAUUUCACCGUUCUGAACACAUCUUAUUUCACGAGAUUUUUGUUAAUUUUGCUUCUAUGUAGAGUUGGUUCACAAAGUUGUGUAUUUGUUUAAAACCUACUAAGCAAGUUAUACAACAUUUUAUUGUUUUUCUUUUAGCCGACGACUUUUAUCGAUAAUAGCCGACGAGUAAAAAUAUUGGCCAACGAAGGAAAACUUUUUGGUCGACGAAAAAAAAAUUUCGUCGACUAAAGUAUCGUAUAGCCGAUGAAAAAAUUUCUUCAGCCGACGAAAAUUUAAAUUAGCCGACGAAAAAAUAAUUCGUCGGCCUGGUUUUUUUAUUUUCGUCGGCUAAAACCUUUCUUUUGGUAGUGACACAUGUCAAAUGAAUAUCAAUACACGUUAUAUUAUUUUAAACAACAUGUUUUUUACGGAAAACGAUAACAUCAAUCAUAUAUAUCAACAAAUACACAUGUUUUUAACAAAACAAUAACAACCAAGAGUUAUCACUCAAUGACAAACAAAACAUCCAUUUCAAUUAUAAUCUAAUUAUCAAUUUAAGAAAGGUUCCCCGAGAAAGACCCUACCUGGAAUCCAAAUGCUACUUCCGACGCUAGCUAAAAUUAGUAACUCUGCUGAAAUCCUUAUCCUGCUACUUCUGCAAUCCAGCUACUCGCAUUCGAUCCUCGUACCGAAUCCUCAUUCCAAGAAUAUUGACAGACCACUUCAAAUCAGCUUGAUCUAAUUCUGAAAUUUACUAAGGACACCCAAGUCCUUACUUCCGAUUCUUCGACAUUCACUACUUAAUUCUCUCAUAGUAUCCAAACUCACAAUUGUGCUCCAAAUACGAAAUCCAUCUCCAAACACCAACCCAACUUCAAAUAGAAGUUAAUAUUUUUAUCUAAAAUUACUCUCUACACCCAAAACUCCCAUUAUAAAUCUCAAUACAGCUUGAUCAUCCUUCCCUCUUCUCCUUUGCACCAUUUCACAAUAUCUUCCUUGUAGACCCAACAAGCAAACCUCCAGACUUGUUCAUGAUGAACAUGUUCAUAUACGAGCACUUCCAUUACAUAAAUUAAAAUCAUUCUUCUACUUCCACAACUCUCAAACAUUAGACCAAACAAUUGUAACAACCACUGUUCUAACACUCGAGCCACAAUCAGCCUUCCAAUCAUCCCCUUCUCUCUCUUUUGAACGUUCAAGAAGCAUCAACACCAAUUCAAGUUCCUGAGCAAAGCCAGCACCGCCAACAACGCCACCACACACGGCAGCCGACGACUGCCCCGAAAUCAUCAACUCCUCCAAUCUCAAAUUCAAUUACAACCAACCAUGAAAUUAUAUUUUAAAGCCUCUAUCAAUAUCAAAGAUAGCUAAUCCAAAACCCAAAACAUUAUCAACGCCGCCGUGCACAGCAGCCGCGCACGGUGGUCGACUGCCCAAAUUCCACCUUCUUCCAAACAUAACCAAAUAUGAAUUCCACUUAUAUAAACAGGUAGAGCUCGACGAGAAGAUCAAGUUUCAUACCUCACUUGUCAUCGACGGUGGCCUGAAAGUUUCGAACCCUCGCCGGAAAACUCCUUGAGCUUUAAUUAAUCGAUUCUCACUCAUGGAGGCUCCUCUUAAUAUACGAACAUCAUGGAAGGGUUUCUGACAUCGAGACGAAGCUUCAGCUAUCGAUGAGAGGCGUCGACGCUGCCGGAAUCGAAAGUUGACCCGCGAACCCAGCCUCUCUUUCUCCCCUUCGAUUCUCUUACCCGACCUCUUCUGAAGAAACUGAGGACAUAGGGAAGACCACGAGAACGAGAGGAAGCUACCAAUACCCGUCACACUCGCCGUCGUGGCCGAAAUCACGAACUCGACCGGAAACCCAGAAAUUCUUCUCCUCCUCGAUUCUCUCUCUCCUCAGCUUUCCAUGGAAAUCCAACAUCACAAUCGUGUUGGGGACGACUAGACGGAGCUUUUGACACCGGUCUUGCACCGGGAAAUAGCUGGACCACAGAGGAAGGAGCUGAGCUCCGUCGCUGCAGAGCAGCUCGAGACCGAGUCGGUCUAGGCUUGUACUGAUCCAGUCCAAACUAAUCCCCUGUAUAUACAUACCUAAAUCGAUGGCCUAGAUCUAGCGGCUUAAGAGAUCCAACAGUCUAGAUCAUGUCAGCAAUAAGUCUAUUUUUAAUUAAAUUUUUAGAUAAUACAAACUUCUAAAAAUCAUUAAAAAUAGCUCUGAUGUCCAAAAAUACUUCCGUAAAAUUCUACAAACUCAUAACGACGUCUAGGUUAAUCCUAUGGGCUCGAAAGACAAAAUCGACAAACUAAAAAUUUGAAUAAUUUUCAACAAGCCACAAAAAAUUAAAAGAAUAAUAGAAAUCGAAAUAAAAAUAGCUCGAAAAAUAAUUUUCCUUUUAAAAAUAGAAAACUGAAAUUCCAGGAUGUUACAAAUAACUUCAGGAUUUCAAUUACAUGCAAAAGACAAGAGUUAGCAAGUAACUAAACCUUGGAAUUUAGAAUUUAAAUUUCAAGCCAGUGGUUAUUGUUGAACCUGUUACGAAGGAAAUGAAGCUCAGUCGACUGUGUGAUCGUCCGGUGUGGUUCACCUGAGUACCGUCGCUUGAUACAUUGAUCGGUUCCAUCUUACUCCGCAUUCCUAAUUGCCCGCUUCUCACUGGUGGCUGUCGUUUUCGUUUCUUUCGAAUAUGAAUUUUGUGUUGGGCUUUCGCAACUGUUAUUUGGGCCUGUAUACAGUAGUAUUAUCUCUCUCUCUCUCNNNNNNNNNNNNNNNNNNNNUAUUAUCUCUCUCUCUCUCUCUCUCUCUCUCUCUCUCUCUCUCUCUCUCUCUUUUCAAUAACCUGUCUUUUCUUUUUUAUUUAGAGAAGAUUCUACAACUUUUUGUUUCAAGACAUCUUUAUUUAUUUAUUUAGAGAAGAUUAUUUAUGAGGCUAUGUCAAAGAGAGAGCUUCUGCGACUGGAGUAGUUGACAUACCAUAGUUGAACGAAGCUACAACCCAUGGAUGGUCGUUAAUUGUUGGUGCUAAUCACGAAUCCCUCAACUGCAGAGUUUCUCCUGACCGAUCUAUCAAAGUUGAUUUUAACCCUAUCCCACAACCACUAUCCGGUUGCUGAAGCUCUAGCUCUGCGCAAUAGCCUCGUGUAUGCUAAUUAAAGAGCGAGGCUUCUCCAAGAUUGAAGUUGAGGGCGAUUCUAAGUUGGUGAUUGACGCCGUGAAUGGAGUGUCGACCCCUCUGUGGAAGUUACUCAAACUAAUUCAUGAUAUCAAAGUCUUGAGUAAUUCCUUUGAGUUUGUAUGCUUUCAGCAUGUGUUUAGGGAAGCAAACUUUGUGGCUAAUGCUUUAGCCAAUCUUAGAUAUAGGCUGAGUAACCUACGCUGCUAGGAGAAGUGUGUUCCCCCGGAAGUGUCUUCUGCUCUUGCCUUUGACAUUGUAAACCUUGGGUGCAUUAGAGACACCUCCAUCUAAUAUAUUUUUUUUUNNNNNNNNNNNNNNNNNNNNNNNNNNNNNNNNNNNNNNNNNNNNNNNNNNNNNNNNNNNNNNNNNNNNNNNNNNNNNNNNNNNNNNNNNNNNNNNNNNNNNNNNNNNNNNNNNNNNNNNNNNNNNNNNNNNNNNNNNNNNNNNNNNNNNNNNNNNNNNNNNNNNNNNNNNNNNNNNNNNNNNNNNNNNNNNNNNNNNNNNNNNNNNNNNNNNNNNNNNNNNNNNNNNNNNNNNNNNNNNNNNNNNNNNNNNNNNNNNNNNNNNNNNNNNNNNNNNNNNNNNNNNNNNNNNNNNNNNNNNNNNNNNNNNNNNNNNNNNNNNNNNNNNNNNNNNNNNNNNNNNNNNNNNNNNNNNNNNNNNNNNNNNNNNNNNNNNNNNNNNNNNNNNNNNNNNNNNNNNNNNNNNNNNNNNNNNNNNNNNNNNNNNNNNNNNNNNNNNNNNNNNNNNNNNNNCACUCUCUCUCUCUCUCUCUCUCUCUCUCUCUCUCUCUCUCUCUCUCUCUCUCUCUCUCUCUCCACCGUUGAGCAGCAACGAUUCUGGCAACACCGGACGGCGAGACCGCCACUGAAGUGAUCCUCUCCUCCUCCUCAACUCAGCCCAGUCCUUUAAUUCGGAAGACAUCCACUUUUGGCGGAGAUCGAUGGAGGAGGACGGUGACUAUCCUUCAUUGUUUUCCGGCGAGGGCUCAGGCUCCGAUCACUGAUCCACCUAGCGACGGUGAGUCCCUUCCUCCUCUCUUCCUUCUGCACAGUCUAGUGCUUUAUUUCCUUCAAAUCGAGACCUAACUCAGAAAUCCCCUUGUGUUUCUGAGUUUCUUGAGCUUCUUUUCCUGCGAUUGUGUUCUUCGUGUUCUGGUGGCGACCACGAGCUCCGACGAGCGUAGUUCAUCCUUGGAGAUGCCGGGACUUAGAGUUGGGAAGCUUUGGGGCAGUUGCUGUUGUGCAGCAUCGUGGCAAAGGGACUGCUUAUUGAUUUCAAGCAAGGAGAGGUUGCUGGGUUUGAGUGGUGUACAGAUUGGAGGUAAGGAGUUUGAUUUGGUCGGCUGUGUUGUUGUUUGUGUUGCGGUUAUUGAGUUGGAUUGUGACUAAAAUCAUUGUUGUGGUUGAUACUUGUCGAUGUCAAUAACUUGGUGAUAGGAGUUUAUGAGGAGGCUAUGGCAAAAUUCCGGUAAGUCGUCGGAAUCUGGCAAGAGAUUUCGACGAGGGCAGAAUCAUGCAGAGACUAUUGAGGUAGUUAUCGAUGUUUUUCCCUGCUAUUGUGUAUCGUUUCAAUAAUAGGAAAGUUUGUAGGUUGUAAUCGGAAAUCUUUCUAAGUGAGGAAAGUUUCUAUUUUAGGAAACUUUCCCUUUUUGGGAAACUUUCUAUUUAUGGAAACCCAUUGUUGGGUGCCCUUAGUGAUUUAUGGGGUGAAGUUGUGUUGAGAGGAAGUAUAUGGGGAUUGUAUGGGUGAAGAAACAAUUGUAAUUGUGUUGUAAUUGAGGAUUUCUCGGAUGAAGAAAUUGGAUAAUCGAGGAAUGGAUUUAGUGAAAAGGUUUGUUCUUAUUUAAGAUCUAAUUGAUUUCAAGUGAAGCAAAUAAUUGAUUUAUUAAAAUGAUUGUUGGAUUUGAAUUGGAUGGUUAAGAGUAAUCAAGGUAACCCGAAUUUUCAAGUCGAAGGUUAGAGUGGAAAAUGUUGAAACUUCGUUACUUGGCCAACCCUAAUUUAAUUGGUCAAUUUUGGUCAACUCAGGAAAUCUAGCCAAACUAGGAAGAAUUUGAAUCCAUGAUUAUUAUGGUGUUUGGUCUGACCGAUUUAUUCUUCUAUUUAUCGUCAGACGUGGGAUUGGCUAGAGAAUGUGAAUAGUUUGAGGCAGCGCUCGAGGAGUAUUCCGAGCAUUGGAAGACUUAGGCCUAAUACGGUGAGUGGACUUUUGUUUUAAAUAAUAUGCAUGCAAAUGGUUUAUUGUUGAGCAAUUUCUUUUGUUGGAGCAUUUGACGUCAUUUUAUUUUGACGAUUUCUUUUAUUUUGGAGAGUUACCGAAAAUGAGAUUUUCGGUGGAUAUGUAUAUGGAUUCUUAUGAGUAUAGUAUAAAUGCUAGCUAGCCUUACGUGUUUGGUCCGUCAUAAUAAGGUAAAAUUCCAUUAUGGCGUGACGUAAGUGUUAGACACAAGCGUCAUAGCCCUAUAUGAAAACUAUUUUCAUAUCUAGUUCAUAUAGAUUUUCAUAUAGGGAGUCCACACGUAUAUACACCCGUCCUCUUCGGUCAUAAUGAGGAAAAAUUUCAUUAUGGCGCGACGUGAGCGUUAGACGCAAGCGUCGUAGCCUUGUAUGAAUUUCUAUUUUUCUAUUUUGUUCAUAGAAUUCGUACAAGGAGUCUGACGAGUGUAAAUACAUACAUAUAUGUAUAGUUUAACCUGAGAUUCUGUAUUUUAUUAAGUUUUGGAGACUAGCUCAUGUAUUUGCCAGUUUAUGAGUUGAAAGCUUUUGAGCUGUCGCAUGCAGCAUAUUUUAUAUGGAAAUUAAAUUGGGGAAGCAUAAAGAAAUAUUGUUAUUAAAUUUAUUUUUGUCCACUCACUCUAACGUGUUUUCAAAUGUUUUCCCAUGCGCCAUUUGUUUUAAAAAUGCUCAGUAUGCAGGUUAGCUUAGUUGAGGUCGGGCGUACAUGAAGAAGAGACAUAGUCAAUAGUAUAGUUUCUGCUCAUUUCUAUAUUUCUAGUUCUUUUCUUCUCCAUUAGAGCUGUUCUGAACUGUGAUUGUUGGUUAUGGGAUUAUUCUUAUUAAGUUAGUAAAUAAAUUGGGAGAUGUUGUGAUUUGGGGAGCACGAAGGCUCCAGGAGUAGAGGGUUAUAGAUGGAUUUUUUCGAAGUGUUUGCAGGUAUUUCUAGGAAGGGUUGUCCAUUUUCAAGAGAGAUUAUGUCGAAUUUUCGGUAAAUUUUCCUUGGAGGUGGUCCCCGCAGGAUUUACUUCGGGUUUCAGGGUGAAAUUCGAGGUGGGUCCUGACACCAAGUGAGGAUUUUUAAAAAUGUUUAGGUGAUGUGAUAAUGAAAUUGGAAAAUAUCAAAUAACAAUUAAAACAUUCAUCUAACCAUUCAUUCAAAAGUCUACAUAUAAUUCUCGUUAUAAGUAGGAUGGCAAUGGGUAGGGUAGGAUACGGGGAUCAAAAUACCGUAUCCAUACCCUUUUACAUUUCUCAUCCCCGUACCCGUAAUUAGAUAAUGGGGAUUUCCCGUACCCGUACCCUUUGGGGAUUACGUUUCCAUACCCGUACCCGUACCCGUUAACAAUUAUGUAUUAAAUUAAAUUUUUUUUUAAAUACGAAAUACAUUAUAUAAAAGUAUGAAAUUAAAAUCAAAUACCAAAAUAAAUAAGUUUCAUGCUUCAAUCCAAUAAAAAUAAAUACAAGUUUUGGUUAAAACAGAACAAUACCGAUAAAUUUCAUUAAGAAAAUAAAAAUAUAUAAUAAAAAGGAAGGUCCGUUUAUUAAGAGAAUCACAAAUUUUUUUACAUAAAUAUUUAUUUAUAAAUUAUAUAUAAAUAUAUAUAAUAAAUUAUAUAAUUAUAUAUAAUAAUAUUUUCAUCCUUAAUAGGUGGGGAUAGGGACGAAUAUCAAAAUAUCAUACCCGCCCCGUACCCGAUUUAAGAAUCCGAAUACUGGGGAUCCCCAUCUCCAUUACCCAUUUAUAACCGUAUAUCUUCCUCGUUAGAGUCGAAUACCCGUGGGUACCCUACCCGCUAGGGAUUAUUGCCAUCCUUAGUUAUAAGGUUCUCAUUAGAAGUUUUCCCACUAAUGAAAUCGAAAAUUAGAAAGUCGCAACCUAGCUAUCUAUCAUGACGAAAACUAACAAAACCCGAUGAAGUAUCACACCAAGGAACUCUAGAUCUAACGUAUAUCUGUCUUUUGUGAUCCAAAAAACACGCGUACGACAUAUUACAUUGACUUACAACAUUUGGUGUACGGUAAUACCGUAUACCGUAUACCAUUUCCUAAACAUUUUCUCAAAAGUUAUACCAAGCACAACACCCAUAUAGGCAUAUUUAAGAAGUCCAAAAAGAAAUAAAGUUCAUUUUUCUCGGUCUUCACUAUCCGAUUUAAGUUUGUUUAACCCUAUACAGUCCAUUAUUUCAAGGAUCAAAACAAUUGAUAAUCGGAUUCGAUGCUAAUGAUCGACUUGGCUUUAAGGUGAUGGAAACCACUUCCAAUGGCCAGAAAAGACUUGAUUGGAGACUCCAAAAUAUAUAACUAGCUAGAUUCCGUAUUUCAUACCAAAUAGGAUCUCAAAUUAUAUAAAGUGAGAAAGCAAACUCAAACUAUCAAAAUGUUGUCGAAAUAUAUGGAUGGAGUUCUUGCAAAUUCUAUAUAUUUGAACCAAAGGAGAGUACGUACGUAGUACCUAUAGCUAUCUAAGGUUAGUCAGUUACUCAAUUUUAUUAGACUUCAUCAAUCGCUUUUCGUCUUUCACUCUAUAUAUGCCAUUUUGAAGUAGGUAUAACCAAGGAAAGGAAGUAGAAGAAGAAGGAAAUUUCAUUAUAAGCCAUACGAUUACAAGUGCAUAUAUAGUACGUAGUAGCUAGUUAUUGUCUUAGUGCGUUAGACCUCUCGUACUACAAGAGAGCCAUACAGGACUACCUUUAUUCAUUCUCUACCCCUUAAGCUAGCUUAGUGCCAAAACACUACGUGCCGCAUCAUAUUUUUACAUUUCGAUCAUCACAAUGAUUUAAGCAAUAGCCCAUCAGCUCUUCUGGGGCAUGGCAGCCGACCUUGAGGAGCUCAAGGCAACGAUCUCCUGCCUGUUGUACUUGAGGUUCCUAGCCUGCUGACGGUCCAUCUGGUAAGCGUUGGCGAGGACCACGUCGGGGAGUGAUCGCAGGACGGAGGUCCUACCAGCCAUGGUGUUGAUCAUGGCAUUGUCUUGGGUCUUAAAGGCAAUGUACUCGUAUCCAUUGCUCAUGGCCUUUUGCAACACGGCGUGGUUUUGCGGCACGAUGAAGAGCUGUCCCUGGCGGACCUGGUCGUCCAAGAUGCAGUCGCCAUUGUCGUUCACCACCUGAACCCUAGCGCUGCCCCUGAUGACGUAGUAUACUUCAUGGGCGUUCAAGUUCCAGUGUGGGCUGUAGAUAGCGUUCUGCAUUUACAACGUAUCAAUCACUUUUAAUUACUUAAGCUCAAACAAUUAAUUGGUAACUAAUUAAAAUGAACUAAUAAAUGCAUGGAAAAGAAUACUGACGUUGUAGAAGAAGCCUCUCUCAGCGCUGAGACGGAGGCGCCUGAGAAUAGGCAUGGUGAAGGCGUUGAGGGUGCUGAUGCGACCGGCUUGCGGGCUGAAGACGUCGGCCAUUGUAGGCCUUCCGAUGUUUUGUCUCAUCUUCAUGUGGCAGAAGAGCUCCUCCAUGCCGUUCUCUUCAUAUUGUCCUUGUUGUCCCUGCAUUUGUGUUCCUUGGAUUUGCCUUUCCUCCCUCAUUGACUCUGGGGGCUGGAUGAAGUCGAGGCGUCCCUGUACCCUAACAAUCUGUGGCCUGUUGUCGUUCAUUCCCUGGAGCUGCUGGGCGGUCUGUUGGUCGAUGUUAAGAGCGUCGGCGAGGAGCUGUGUGUCGAAGCCGGAGAAGACGUUGUUGUAGUUCCCCUGCAUUUGGUGCCUGCUCUUUCCUUGUUGUCUCCGGAUCCGUGGGCUUUGGCCUUGUUGGGUGAACUCAUCUUGUGGGUUACCAGCAAGGUAGAAUCUCUAUAUAUAAAGAGAGAUUAAGCAGCAACAAGUCAGUGAACAUUACCCUAAACUAUUUUUGGUACAUGCAAGAAUAUAUACUGAAUGAAAUGUGGUAAGAAAUUGUACCCUUGGGAUUCGGUCCAGCUGGUUGUGCUGGUUGCUCAUGUCAAGAAGACUGACGAAAACAAGAGGUUCGUUAGCGUCGUUGUAACUCCAGCAGGUGACACCAGCAGGAAUGGCGAUAACAUCACCUUCCCUGACGCGUCGGACCUUCUGGUGACGGUCGAGCUGAUCAUAGCUCUCUUGCUGGCCUUGCUGGCCCAUUUGUCCCUCUCGGCGUAUAAUCUGUUGCCGGCGGCCUUGUUGGCCUUGAGAUUGUCGUUGCUCUUCAACAGAUUGUUCGGUUUCUUCGAAAGUCUCGGGACAGCCGGGGAGAACCAUUCCUAGAUGACCCAUACCUGCAAUACUCAUAGCAAUAAGUUAACAGUCCAUCGACAAACGCUAGCUAGCUACAUGCAAUUUCGGUAUAACUAAUGAAGUGAUAUGAUAUUACCUCGGACGACGUAAACGAGUCGUGGAGUGUUAACGUAAGAAGGCAGGUGGAGGCCGUUGUUCUCAAUGGUGAUCUUCUGAACGGCGACGCCAGCGCACUGGAAGUCAUCCUGGUUGUAGUCCCAGGACUCGAUCCGACCUGCUUCAGUCUCAAUGCGGUUGUCGGGCUCGCGGGCUUGGAUCCGGUUCAGCAUGCACUCAUUUUGCUGGCUGAACUGAGUUUGUCGCCGACUGGCUAAGCAGCCGUGGAAGAGAACAAGUAAGCAAAGAGAGAAAGCGAGAGCUAAGUGCUUGGCCAUUGUGAUGAUCAAUGGCAGAUAGCUAGUUGUGGGUUGUGAUGAUGAAGUGGAGAGUAGAGCGUUGGUAUUUAUAGGAGAUGAGAGGAGGUGAGGGUGAGAAUAGUGCAAAUGAUGUGUAAGGAAUCUCAUGCCAUUCUUCUCUUUGCAUGGCUAUUAGUAUUUCACAUUCUUACACCUCAUUUCUCUUCCAGGGCAGGUGGCUCUUGGCUUCAGAGAAGGUUUAAAGUUAUAAGAACAAGGUGGCAACCAGGUGGGGUGGCCAUGAUUGUUUGCAAGUGAAGCAAAUUUCACCUCCCCGAACCUCGUGCAAUGCAUGAACUCGAAUAAUUAACUCAUGAAUCAGAUCUGAAACUGUUUCAUGUUCGUGAAGAAAUAUUACAUCAGUACCAUCCCGAACUAUCUAUAAUUUACGGAGGUGAAACAUAAGAUGAUAAGAACUUUAUCAUCUUCCAAAUAGUAAUAUCCAUAUUCCUUUACUCCCUUUGUAUGUAAUUCAAAUGUAGUAUUUAAGACUUUUUGAACAUUUUUCAAGAAUGAUCUCUGGACUCGGCGCGCUCUUAUGUAUAAGAGUUCCUUUACCUGCUAAUAAAUCUAAAUAACUUAUAUAUAUAUAUAAACGGAUUUUCUCAGCUGCGGACGUCCGCACCAAUUUUUUGGUGCGGAUUUCUAUUUUUUCAUCACUUUUCGAUCGAAUUUCCUCAUCUCCACCGUCUAGUAUCUAGAUAAUAUUGUGUAGAUCAUCUCUGCAANNNNNNNNNNNNNNNNNNNNNNNNNNNNNNNNNNNNNNNNNNNNNNNNNNNNNNNNNNNNNNNNNNNNNNNNNNNNNNNNNNNNNNNNNNNNNNNNNNNNNNNNNNNNNNNNNNNNNNNNNNNNNNNNNNNNNNNNNNNNNNNNNNNNNNNNNNNNNNNNNNNNNNNNNNNNNNNNNNNNNNNNNNNNNNNNNNNNNNNNNNNNNNNNNNNNNNNNNNNNNNNNNNNNNNNNNNNNNNNNNNNNNNNNNNNNNNNNNNNNNNNNNNNNNNNNNNNNNNNNNNNNNNNNNNNNNNNNNNNNNNNNNNNNNNNNNNNNNNNNNNNNNNNNNNNNNNNNNNNNNNNNNNNNNNNNNNNNNNNNNNNNNNNNNNNNNNNNNNNNNNNNNNNNNNNNNNNNNNNNNNNNNNNNNNNNNNNNNNNNNNNNNNNNNNNNNNNNNNNNNNNNNNNNNNNNNNNNNNNNNNNNNNNNNNNNNNNNNNNNNNNNNNNNNNNNNNNNNNNNNNNNNNNNNNNNNNNNNNNNNNNNNNNNNNNNNNNNNNNNNNNNNNNNNNNNNNNNNNNNNNNNNNNNNNNNNNNNNNNNNNNNNNNNNNNNNNNNNNNNNNNNNNNNNNNNNNNNNNNNNNNNNNNNNNNNNNNNNNNNNNNNNNNNNNNNNNNNNNNNNNNNNNNNNNNNNNNNNNNNNNNNNNNNNNNNNNNNNNNNNNNNNNNNNNNNNNNNNNNNNNNNNNNNNNNNNNNNNNNNNNNNNNNNNNNNNNUAUAUAUAUAUAUAUAUAUAUAUAUAUAUAUAUAUAUAUAUAUAGGUUUCAACCGCAAGAGGUUAGUUCAGCACUAGUAAAUAUAUAAUUACAUGGCACAUGGAAGUGAUGGAACAAAGAAGUGAUACGCAAAUCAUCAAACUAUCACAUACGGCCUGAAACUUUGUGCUAAUACGUACAUAUGCCCUUCAAAUAUCCCUUAAACUUGUCAUAUUGUCAUAUAUAUUGACAUGCAUUUCAUUUGCAUCAAUGCAGAAUCAAACCCUUCGUAUAAAAUAAAAAUAAAAAUGCAGAAUCAAACCCUGACGUUAAUACAAGGAUAUUAGUUCCUAUGUCACUAACCGAUCGAUUUGGUGCAUCAAGUGCUCACCCAUGUACAAUCCCAAACAUAUGAUUCAUAUGAUAUGAAAUAGGCCAUCACAACCGAGAACUCACCGCCCCUCCUCUAUUUAACCCUGAGCUUAGAUAUCAAUCAUAUGAAACGCAUUCAUUUCCACAAGUGAAUUAAAAACCUCUGAAGGCUUAAUUAGCCGUUUAGGGUUCAUAUAUGGAUCUCUCAGUAAUUUGAAUUUGGCCACUUAUUCGAUCUUGUCAAACGAAGGACGCAAGGCAAUCUUUAGCUACUAGUUGUCCUUAGCGAUGAUCAUUAAGCACGUACGUACAGUUUCUAUAAUAAACUUUCUUAUUUCUUUCUAUUACAAUGGUUUGAAGCUUUUCUGUGCUAAUUGAUUCGUAAAGCUCGAGAGUACGUAGCUAUAUAUAUCCCAAUCAUUAAGGACCCUAUUAAUCAAAGUGAACAAUUAGCUUCAGGAUAACUGAGUAGGAAUAAUGGAGUAGCACCGGGAAAUAAGUCGGAAAAUACGUUCGUCCGGACUAAGUACGUAUGUGUGCGUCCGGACUCUCUUUUAUUUACUUUCUUUUGUCAAUGCAAAUCAUAAUCUUAACCGUUCAAAAGUUGAAUUAACCUAUAUAGAUCAUCUCUACAAAAUUUCAAUGUAAACAAACAUCGUUUUCUUAGUCGAUUACAUUAAACAAAUUGACAGUUCUAGUGAAAGUUAACAGUCUCAUGAUCAGUCGUCCAUUUGUUUGAUACAUUCGGCUUAGAAAACAAUGUUUGUUUACAUUGAAAUUUUGCAGAGGUGAUCUCCAUAUAUAGGUACGUAAAUAAGAAAGAGUUCAGACGCACACGUACAAACUAGUCCGAACGCAAAUAUUUUCCAAAUAAACUAGUCCGAACGCAAGUAUUUUCCAAAUAAGUUAAAUGACAAAAGCCAAAGUUUACAAGUACAUAAGAUUAGACCGAGUGUAAUGAUAAAAUGCGUGCACCAAAUCGGAAAUUGAGACUGAGAAUAAGAUUAAACACUCUGUAGUGUGUACUUACGUAGAGUUUAUCUAUCAAACUUGUUGUCGAAUUUGCUUUGAGGCAAAACCACCUAGCUACUUCAAAUUGGCGUGUAAGAUGAUGCUUAUAGUUGUGGACUUGUGGGUAAUGAGUUGAGAUUAAGUUAGAGUGACUGCGAGAGCGGUAUGUUGGAGUCUUCAAAAUAUAACCCAUUUUACAUUUCUCCUAUUCUAUGAUUAUUCUUUUUUCUUAUCCUAUGUUCUAUAAGUAGAUAACACAAUUGUCAAUUCUUUUAUUUUUCUUCUCUGUUCUAAAAAAACAAAAGAAUGUCUAAAUGUUGAAUCAACCAUAUAACAAAUUAAGCAAUACACUAAAAGAAGCUGCAGCUACCAGCUUGCUUUGGUCAAUUUGUUAUAUACUAAAGAUAUACCAAUUAUUCAUCAACGUCGACUCGGGUCAACGUACCACAUAGAUAUGCAAUAUGAAAGGGAAGAGUAUAUCAUCAAGGCAAACCAAAAAAGUGAAAACUUCAUUAGAAAGCAUAACGUUACAAGUACGUACAUAUACGUAGCAGCUAGUACUAUAACUUAGUACAUUGGAUCUCCCAUACUACAAAAGAGCCAUACAAGGCACUUUUAUUCCCUCGAACUGACGAACUCUACCCCUUAGCUAGCUUGAUGCUAAAACACUACAUGCCGCAUCACAUUUUUACAUACAUAUAUUGAUAUAUUUAAGCACUAGCCCUCUCGGACUGGAAAGAUCUUGAGGAGCUCAAGGCAACAGUCUCCUGCCUGUUGUACUUGAGGUUCCUUGCCUGCUGACGGUCCAUCUGGUAAGCAUUGGCGAGGACCACGUCGGGGAGUGCCCGGAGGACGGAGGUCCUGCCAGCCAAGGUGUUGAUUAUGGCAUUGUCUUGUGUCUUGAAGGCAAUGUACUCGUAUCCAUUGCUCAUGGCCUUUUGCAGCACGGCGUGGUUCUGCGGCACGAUGAAGAGCUGUCCCUGGCGGACCUGGUCGUCCAAGAUGGUCUCACCGUUGUCGUUCACCACCUGAACCCUAGCGCUGCCCCUGAUGACGUAGUACACUUCAUGGGCGUUCAAGUUCCAGUGUGGGCUGUAGAUAGCGUUCUGCAUGUACCACAUAAUAACCAUAAUUAAAACUGCUAAAUUAAACUCCACCAUAACUUGAUUAGACUUAGUUGAUAGACAAAUCAAUAUGCAUGCAUAUAUACUCACGUUGUAGAAGAAGCCUCUCUCAGCGCUGAGACGGAGGUGCCUGAGAACGGGCAUGCUAAGGCCAUUGAGGACGCUGAUGCGACCGGCUUGUGGGCUGAAGACGUCAGCCAUUGAAGGCUUGCCGAUGUUCUGCUUCAUCUUCAUGUGGCAGAAUACCUCCUCAAAACCAUUCUGUCCUUGUCGUCCUUGUUGUUGUCUUUCCUCCCUCAUUGACUCUGGGGGCUGGACGAAGUCGAGGCGUCCCUGAACCCUAACGAUCUGUGGCCUGUUGUCGUUCUGUCCCUGGAGCUGUUGGGCGGUCUGUUGGUCGAUGUUGAGAGCAUCGGCAAGGAGUCUGGUGUCGAAGCCGGCAAAGACGUUGUUGUUGUUGUUUCCCUGUUGUUGGUGUCUGAUCUUUCCCUGUUGUCUCGCGAUCGAAUGUCGGCUUUGGCCUUGUUGGGUGAACUCAUCUUGUGGGUUACCAGCAAGAUAGAAUCGCUGCUCAUACAGAUCAAGCAGCCAUUGAGUUAAACGAUUUUGUAACAUUGUAUCCAUAUAUAUAAUCAGGUGUCAGUAAGAAAAUCCAUAUAUAAUUAUAUAUUAUCAAAACGUUGAUAAGAAAAGGUACCCUUGGGAUUUGGUCAAGUUGGUUGUGAAGGUUGCUGGUGUCUUGAAGACAGACGAAAACAAGAGAUUGGUCACCGUCGUUGUAGGACCAGGUUGUGACUCCGGCGGGGACGGCGAUAACGUCACCUUCCUUGACGGGUCGCACUUUCUGGUGUCGGUCUAGCUGUUCGAAGCUCUCUUGUUGUCCCUGUUGGCCUUGUCGGCGUCCAAUUUGCUGGCGACCUUGUUGCCCUUGCCCUUGCUGUUGCGAGCCCUGUAGUUGUUCCUCGUAAGAUUGCUCGGUUUCUUCGAAAGUCUCGGGACAUCCGGGGAUCACCAUUCCUAGUUGACCCCUACCUGAAAUAGAUCACGUAUAAAAGACAGUAAGUUAACCUUGCUCAAGCACAACAUGCAAUUUAGUCAUAAGUUGAUCAGAAAAAGCGACGUUUAGAUAUUACCUUGGACAACGUAAAGGAGGCGAGGACUGUUGGUGUAAAAAGGCAAGUGAAGGCCGUUGCGCUCGACGGUGAUUCUCUGAACGGCGACUCCGGCGCACUGGAAGUCAUCCUGGUUGUAGUCCCAUGACUCGAUCCGACCCGCCUCGGUCUCAAUGCGGUUGUCGGGCUCGCGGGCUUGGAUCUGGUUCAGCAUGCACUCAUUUUGCUGGCUGGACGGAGAUUGUUGGCGAUAGGCUGAGCAGCCAUGAAAGAGAACAAGCAAGCAGAGAGAGAGAGCUAAAGACCUGGCCAUUUUGUAGAGUGGAUACUAGCUAUAGCUACUUGGGUGAGGAAGAGAGUGGAGAGGGGUUGGGAUUUAUAGGGUAGCGAAAGAGGUAAGGGAGGGACACGUACGUUGAGGAAGGGGUUGCAUGUGUAUAAGGCAUCUUCAGCCAUCUUUCUGUUUGCAUGGUGUGAAGGUUUGAAGGGUUUACACCUCAUUUCUGUGGUCUGAGGCAGGUGGCUUUGGUGAAGAAGAAGAUACAAAGUGCAUGGGAUAUAUGUGGCGAGAGGAUGGAGUCUCCAGUAUUGUCCGGAUGCAAACUGAAACUGCUUUUGAAGUUUACUGCCUUAAUUUUGGUAAAUAUGGAGAAAAAUACAUACAGUUUGUGAAAAGUAAAAUAAAUAAAGGAACUCCAUCAACUCAUCUGAACAUUGGGAAUUUGGGAUAAAUAACUAGUUAUCUCGAUCUGAUCUCAGAUAUGCAUGGCCUAAACUUACAUCCUACACUACCAUAGCUGCAAUGUAUAUUAAUACACAUGAAUCUAACCAAGCUCCUUAUAACUAGAAAAUAGAAUUGUUCUUUUUUUUCUUCUUUAAUUUGUAUCUUGGGUAUCAGUACUUUAACUGAUAUAUAACAACUGGAAAACUGUACAACAGCGUCUUGUACGGAAGUGCAAUGUAGGACGUAUUUUAUAUAGGAAAAUUCAAGGUAUUGGACUGUUUGCUAUACAAUGUAUUUUUAAAUAUUUUCGAUCAUCGGUUCUUGAAUUUUAAGAAAUAUGGUAACCGGUUUGGGGUUGUCUACGUAUAGAGAUGUGUAUAUUAUACUCAUUUUACAACUAAUUAAACCAAACUUAUAAUUUAAUGAAAAUAAAUAUACGACGAUGACAACAAACCUACCAGUUGAUUAUGUCAACUCAUUUGAAAUUACUAAUGAAGACACAUAAGCGUAAAAAAUAAUAAUAAUCCUCUUUUUCUUUCAUUACAGUAGUCUUCAUCUAGAAGAAAAAAUUCUUUUCCAACAUAAACACUAACAGAUACGUCGAACUCCAUGGAAGAUAGUGACAUUGUUUUGGAGUAUAUGCACAAUGUAUGAGUUUCUUGUUUUUUUUUUUUUUUUUUUUUGUUUCUUUUUUUGUAUGAAUUCACAAAUGUAUUAUUGUAAUUGUUUCAAUAAGAAGGAAACUUGUUGUCGACUAAGCAGAGUUUGCCCGUCCUAUUACUACAAAGAUUUUGAAGUUGUUUUUUUCUUUGUGUAUACUAAACACUCGUAAAUUUUCUUUAUUCAAAAGAAAAGUGUAUACUGACAAUCUCUUCUCCCUAAUAGAAAUAGCUUUAUGAUAUAGCGGCAAAAGACAAAUCUUGAGUUUUGGAUUUCGUUAUAAGAACUUGAUAAUUUUAUAAGAAAGUAAAUUAAUGGGUUGUUAUAUAUAGAGCUUGAGUAUAUAUACAUGGACUCUUUUUGAUAAUUUUAAGAGAAUGUUCUAGGAUAUUCUGUAUCUUUCUAGAUAUUCUUUAUGUGUGCAUUGGCCUUAUGCCAAUAGGAUAUGUAGUUAGACUAAUUCUAUGUAUUCAUAUCCUUACCAUAUUGGUAUUGUGUAAUUCCCUAUAUAAAGGGCUCAUAUCAAUGAAUAAGAUGAUGAUUCUCUUGCUAUCUCUUUCUCUACACUUUAUAUUUCAUCACGUUAUCAUGCACUUUGUUAUAACCCUAGAGCCAAUAGCCCACCAUUUGUUUUCCAAACCCUAAAAUCUGACAGCCUUGUUUUUCCUGAUUUCCGACCAAAAUUCCGACUGCCCUCUGCCGGAGUUUUAUAUCCCCAGAAAGCUCUCUCCGUCCUGGAUCCAACGCCGCCGGCCUCACCCUGAGAACCGGCCGGAAAGUCUUCGAACCGGCCGCUAGAAGAUUCCAGACCGCCGCCGCUACCGACCACCGGUUCACCACCUUCCCUUGCUCCGAUCAACCUGAAAUUUUGACAGCAGCUUCCCCAUCCAGAGCUGCUCAUUCUGUCAAAUUUUCAGCCCCAAAUUCGAAGUAUAAGUAGGCGAAACGUUAUUUCUCCUCUCGGCAGCCUCUAGAAACCAAAGAUUUCAAGAUUGGUCGUCUUCCAAGGAAACCAGAAAGGUAUGUUUUGAAACCUUAAACUUUUCCAAGUUCAAUAACUCGGGGAGGAUAAAAUCUUUUCCGCCCUUCUCUAUCUCCAUUCUAUGCUUGGGAUUUUGUGUGUGCAGGUACCAAAAAUCCCGGAAUUUUAUUCGCGGGUCAAGAGUGUAUUUGAUCACUCUUGCUUCCUUGUCCAGGUUGUGUAUGAUCAACCCCAACCUUUCUCCGGAUUGUGUUUGAUCAAUCCGAGGCCUUUUCCGAAUUGUGUUUGAUCAAUUCGCGACUUUUUCCGGAUUGUGUAUGAUCAAUCCGAAGGACAAACCAUUAAAAGCAUUGUUUGUGACCUCUAUCGAGUCUCAUAACAGCUUGGUUUUGUAUGCAAGAGCAACGUAACAUUCUGCUCAUUGAGUUUUGACGUACUCGAUACCUAAGACGAAUCUUCGCUUGGUAUCUGUGGAACAUUUCACUGGAAAGGAUUAAACAACAUAUUUUGACCCCCAGGCUAACAAGCCUAGAUGCCGAGAUUUCACAUCUCAUGCGCUCAAAGUCUUUGACGCGCCACAUCGACAAGCCUUCAAUGGCAAUCUGUGUAAAAAGUAAUGACCACAAAGUACUAUGGAAUGCACUCAUGGAGCGUUUCUUGAAACGUCCAUAUAACUCUACUUGUUGAGUUAUUAGUCAAGUGGAUUACUUACCGCCUUAAUUGACUACAUAUUGUCGAUGAUCAUUUGUGGCAUCAUGAUCCAUAACCUUUAGCGGAUUCGAUCAUCAUCAAGUUCUCUAGGUCCUCCAAGUUGGUUUGGAAUUACCAACGAGACUUGAUUUUGAUCAUACAAACGGGAAUUGUAUAUAUACGCUAAUGUGAUAAAUUUAUUUAGGAUUAUCCCCUAAAUGUGGGAACAACAAUAUGGGUCAUGACAACGGCAGAAAACGUCGUGCCGAUGUCUAGAAAAGAGGGGGAGGUGUCACCGGCUCUAAUAGCAACACUCCCGGUCUAGACACCAUUUUGUCAAAACUACUCACGUCAGCUCAUGACAACGCAACCAUUGUGGAUCUUCGGAUCACUGGUUCAAGAUUGUCAAGCUCCUUCAAAUUGUGAAUGCAUACAAAAAGGUAUAGAAAAUCAAUAUGAGGACAAGAACAUCAUCCUCAUGAUCGCGAAUUUCAAAGAUUCGGAUCCUGCUCUAGCUACCCAUGACUUUGACGUCAUCGACUAGACAUUGAUUUUCGUUCCAAGCUAUAUGUACUAAGGCGUUGAGACCUUGAUGUACUCACAUUAGCAAUAACGAAUGCCUUGAGAAUUUUUUCGAAGUUAUAAAACUAUUCUCCUCUUAUGGUUCGUAUUGAUUUACAAACAAGAUUUACAUUUUUACAUCGUCCUUAGAAGCAUGGCAUAUUUACAAUCUACAUGGUUAGAUUGUGCAGUUUUGGUCUCUUCCAAGUGGAGAUGACGCACGCCCUUGCAUCCUUAAGUAGGAUCGCUAACGUGUUUCCGGUUAAGUCUUCUACCCUAUAGCAGAUUUUUCAUCAUCAAUUGUUCAACUAGGCUCAUCCAAGCUCAGUGUGAUGUCUUAGAAUUGCCCGAAAUUAAGGAGAUAGUGGUUUCAAGUGUGCCUCGCACUACCGACCCUCCACGGACAUGCCUGGUCAUACUGACUUGGAGUUACCGAAAGCUUUUGAUUUUGGAUCCCCCUACGCUAUUAAACCAAUUGCCGUCUUGCAAAAGAUGUUGAAGACUUAUCAAAAACCGGAAAAUUAUCAUCAUGAUCUAAUCCUCUAGGUCCUCUGAGUUAGUUUAUGUUCAUGUCAGGGAGAUUUUGCUAACUAGUCAUGGAGUUUACGACCUUAGAAUGACCGAAAGGACUUUGUUUUGAUCAUACACACGUCACUUGUGGCUAAGGCAAAAUCCUACACGCCACUUGCAAGCUUCACAGCUUCGCACAUGCCAAUUCUGCGAAAAACAGCAAUCUGUCCCUUCUGGACAGUCAACUUCGUUUGCGUUUUGUGAACAGCUCCGGACGAACCAGACAAUAAGCUUUAUAUCAUUGGAAAGCUCUAUGAGUCUAGUUUUCAGAACUUUUCGCGGUUCAUCUAUAUCUAUUUUAACAAGGAAGUUAUGGCUGUUUUAGUGCGCAAAAGUCAUUCUGCGCGGAAAUUUUUAUGCACUCUCGGGAUUGCAGCUUUUCGUAGCUUCUUUCAAUCCUUCUAAAUAGUUCAAGUGGAACUAUUAACUAGCCUAUCUACUCCUUCUUGUAGAUAUGUCUCAUCGAGACAUUGAGUGCUUCGCAGAUAGUGGAACUAUCCAUAACAUUCUAAGGAACCGGCAACUAUCUUUGGAUUUUGUGUCUUUGUAAAUCUUCUGUGACUACAAUGAUUGAAUCAUACCGGUCAUUCAAGGACGCGGUUUAGCUUAAAUCUUGAUGCCUCAUGGAACCAUGAUCAAUGUCACAGAUACCCUCUAUGCAUUGAGAGGCAAUCGAACCAUAUUGAGCUCUAAAGACAUUCCUGCUAAUAGUUUUCAUUUGAAAACACAUUGUGAGAAUGAACAAGAAUUCUUUUGUGUAUACCUUCUCAUGAAUGCGGACUGAAGUGCAUCUUGGAGAAAUUCAUGAGUCAAUCUAGUGGACUGUAUGUCACUAUGAUUCGAAUAUGAUUCGAAUAUCGAAUCUCAUGUUGUCACCAAACAUGAUAUUUGGGACACUGACUCAUAUAGGCUUUGGUUUUAACCAAUUAAGGUCAUCCUAGAAGAGAUAUAAUGGUCCAAAUUUUGAGAAAUUCUCAUGGACAUCCAUUCUUCCGCUCAAAACAAAGACAUUCGAGAUCUAGCAUCACCAUGAAGCAUGGUGGUGACCCGGGGGACAUUGACGUCACCCGAACAAGGCUCCAACUUCCCGGAGGCCGUCCGGUCAAUUCCUCAAGCAACUGAGGUGCACCAGCCUUUCCUCGAUGUCGCAUUGGCCCCCUGCAAUGCUUAUUACUCGUUUUGAAAGCCUAUUAUUUAGCUAAAUUAGGAGUGAGACCCUCCUACGCUAAAUAACACAAAAGUGAACAUUCUAUUCUUACAUAAAAUUAUGUAGAUAGAUACAACCAACUUGCGAACAUCUUUUAUGUUUUAUGGUGUUGGUUGAAGUGUUAACACACUGGUCAUGUGUUACACUAUUAUCUACUGCUUAUGUUGCUUAUACUUCUACGGGCUCACUACCCAUUCUUUAAAGAAGUUUAUCGGGAUGUAAGUUGAAGUGUCCUGUACCCCAUGUUCACACGCAAUACGGUCUCACCGAGGCUACGACUAAGCAACUUUAGCUUGUCGCUCGAACAUUAUUGAUGCGCACCAAUCUUUCUAUUGCGUCUUGGGGCUAUACAAUAUUUGCAUGCAGCUUUACUAUUCAUCUACAACUCACCAUCAUUGAAUAUUUUUGUACUACAGCUCGUGACUGUGUACCAGGAUUGCAAUCCUUGAGCUCAAACAAGAUUGAAACGGAUCUCCAAUCCUUGAGCUCAGCUAGAUAUUUAUUCUAGGUGUCAAAUCGCACUGCCACUGAAGGACAAUGAUGGGUCAUUUGAGAUGAAUAAGUAUUUAGGUUGGAUAUGAAUCUCCACCUAUAAUCCGCAUAUGUAGAAACCUUGUCAGACGAUCUCUUUCACCGCUAUAUUGCGGAUUGUCACUUUGAUGAGACAAUAUUCUCGCCGUUAGGGGGAGAUAAGAGCACAAGUGUUCAAGUGGAACGACGUGAAUUGUCGUGGUUUGUCCCCACUAAGUCUCAUCUUGAUCCCAAAUGCUUAAAGUGUUAAAGUGACGAGAUCACAUGCAGCAAAUAUGUCUGUAAGGAUUGAUGUCCUUUUCAAAGGACAUGGCGCGACCAAAAGGUGUUGGUCUUGACGCCAUCACCAUGGAUGGUGAUAUAGUGACGCCAUAUAGUGGCAAAAUUGGUGUCACAAAGCCGUGUGGCUCCCUAAAAGGAAGGAGACCUUUAGGUUCGAUACUUUCUCGCACUAGAAAGAAAACGAGCUUGGCACAACCUGAUCCAUUGAUCAGUGAUACUCAAAUCCGUCUCAUGAAGUCUGAAUUGUGAUUAUCGUUGGGGGACGCCUCAACGUCAAAUCCAAUCCAUAUAGAGAUCUCUACACGUAUUACACUAGUGUACAUGAGGACGUGGGAUAAUGAGUCUACUAUCGAACCACCCUUCGUUGAUGGAUAUCAACUUAGUUGAUUGGCCUAAUGGAAAGAUGUGAUCCAGCAUAACAAAGAGAUAGGUCCUUGGGCAGGUGAUGCCGACACCGCAAGCUAAACCCUAUCAACUAUGCCUUUGUUAGAUAACGUAGUGAGAACAAGAGCUUAGACUCACCUUAUGACGCAAGGUAUCUCACUAACACGCACUGAGAUCGACUACGAUAAGAUAUGCUUUCGUAAUGGAUGUCAUUGAACUCCACUACUUUGUCAGUUUGGUAGUUUCCGAAUAACUGAACAAGCAGCCUAUGAAUGUGAUCGUAAUAACAUCUCUACGGGAUCAGAGAUAUGCAUGAAGGUCUUGAACAGACUUCAUUCAUCCAAAUCAAGUGGCUCCAGACCACAGGAGCAUGUGUUUGCUAAAUGUAUUGAAACGCACAUGGACUCCACUUGAUUUGGAAGGGAUAUGGUGAAUUAUGCAUUUGCGUGUUCAUUCAAGAUUUACAUGGACUCUUGAUGGAUCAAGAGAUGCCAAUAUGUAUCAACAUCCGAAGAAAAAGAUCUUGGGAAGACACGGUCUCGAUAAGACACUCGAUGACUGUAUUGAUGAUGAUUUUUCAUCAAUCGGCUUAGGUGCUCUAACGAAAGUGAGGCCUACAUAUACUCCCAUGAUUAGUCAAAGUCUUUACUCUAAAGAGAGAUCCGUUGUUUUGUCUAAAGCAUGAUGACAAAUAUGUGUUAAGAGAUGGAGUUCCCAUCUAAGUACAAUUAGACGCAUCAAUGUACUCAACACAAUAUGAAAGACUUGACAUCUCAUUCGCUAUGAAAAGUUGUAAAGCUAAGUAUAGUUAUGCGCCCACGUAACGCCAAUGUAAUGGCAGUAACUCUUUUUUCAAUACUUAAUGGUAUGAAAGGUUGAGGCUAAUUCUAUCCCUACAUAAGAAAGACACAUCAAUAGCGAAAUCAAAAUCUGCCAAGUUUCGUAGGUCAACUUCCACGGGACCUACAAGAAAUCUCACUCACUAGAAAAUGGUGAAAUUGGUACCAUUGGAAAGUUCUAUGUGUCUACUUUCCAGGGACACCAACCAUUUGUUCAUACCUAUCAUAUUGAGUGAGUUAUGGCCGUUUUCAUAAAGUAUGACGAAUCUGUCCGAGAAUCUGAUUUUGGCAAAACAGUCAACUUCGACGGGACUUUGUGAAUAGCUCCUGAUGAAUCAGAACAUGUGUAAUAUACAGUUGGAAAGCUAAAUGAGUCUAGUUUCCAAAACCGUUUACGGUUCAUUCAUAUGUAUUUCCUAGAGGAAGUUACGACUGUUCUAGUAACUGAAGGUCAUGCUGCGCGGAAAUCUGAUUUCCUGCACAAACUUAUGUUUUGAGUUCACAAGCGGCCUUCUCCUCAAGAUCUAAGUGUAAAAGAUCAUUUGAGGACAAUACGGCAUGAUUUAGUUAAUCAUUGCCUAAUGCCACAUUUGAAGACAUGUUAAAGAGCAUUGACAUGCUAAGUUGUUGAAAUUUCCGUGAUUAGUAAAAAUCAGGAAUAGCCCUAUGAUUGAUGUAAAGAUCAGGGGGAGGUGCAAACUUCAGGGGGAGUCUAGCACAUACAUACAUGUCACUAUCAAAUGUGAAUGGUGCGUUGUACUCUUUUUCUCCUACGAUCAAGGUUCAGUUUUUCUCCCACAUGGUUUUUGUGACUUGACGAGGUUUUUAACGAGGCAACAGAUCAGCACCAUCGGCAUAUCAGAGCGGCACAAGGGGGAGUGUUCUAGGAUAUUCUGUAUCUUUCUAGAUAUUUUUUAUGUGUGCCUUGGCCUUAUGCCAAUAGGAUAUGUAGUUAGACUAGAUCUAUGUAUUCAUAUCCUUACCAUAUUGGUAUUGUGUAAUUCCCUAUAUAAAGGGCUCAUAUCAAUGAAUAAGAUGAUGAUUCUCUUGCUAUCUCUUUCUCUACACUUUAUACUUCAUCAGAGAAUAAUGUUUUUCUUGAUUUUAUUGGACUAUGGGCGUUCUGGGAAAAUUGAGGAGGUGUAUAUAACAUUUUAGUUAUUUGUAAAAGUAAAUUUGAGGUCCAUUAAACAAGAAGAUCCAACAGCCGUUUUUAGAGAUAUAAAUAGAACCUCCCAUGACGGAAUGAUAUUACAGUGAAGUUGAAAAAAAAAAAAAAAGUCACAAUGUGCUUGACCUAUAUAUAUAUAUAUAUAUAUAUAUAUAUAANNNNNNNNNNNNNNNNNNNNAAAAAAAGUAAAAACUAACAUAUGNUNUACUACUAUAUAUAUAUAUAUAUAUAUAUAUAUAUAAACCAUACUUUCUUGUAUCAUCUUCAAAAAUAAGGUUCAAAUUAACAGCUAAACAAAACAUCGAUUAUCGUACGUUAAUGUUUCCUUUAGUUAUAGACUACUAGCAGAAAUCCGUAAUAUAUAUAGCUCCACAAUAACUAGUAGUGAAGUAUCUACGUGCAUGCAGAGCUAUCUAUUUGUUCUGUACAUGGGAAUGGUGGGUUUGGCUUUAUACCGAUAAAGAACUCUCCUGUCCUUGAAAUUCCAGUUCUCAAAGGUCACGAAUAUCUUCCCUGGUUCACUAAAGUAGAAGGAGUUUCUCACACUCUCUCCUUGCAGUCUCUUCUUGUCUUGGAUUAGAAUGUUGUACGACCCUUCAUCAUCAGGAAGGAACUCUUCCUUGUACAACACGUCCCAUCCCACCACAGUUAGAUCCCACACCAUUGUCAAUCCACCCUAAUCAAAUGAAAACACCCCAAAAAAUGAAAAUUAUUAGUUAACAACAAGAUUCAACUCAUCAUUCGAUUAAACACGCGAUUAAUGACGAGAAUUAGUACCUCAACAACUGGAAUUUCAAUAUAGUUGAUUGUGUUUGCUUUGAUUAUGAGCUCAGAUACUUUGUCCUCUGGUGUGAACUCAUCAUCUUGCUCUCUUUUGAGGCCACCAUAUUGAACUGGGAGUUCUUCUGGUUCUAUGAACCUUUUUUUUCAUAAUCAUUUCCAUGCAAAGUAACUUGUGUAUUAGAGACACGGAUGAGAUACUAAUGUAAUUGGAUAGUUUCAAUUUUUUGAGUAGUAAUCUCACUCACUUGAGAAGGGUCUUUGUAACCUUUUGGGAUCUAGCAAAGAUGAACGUCUUCUUAGUUCUGUGACUUAGAAACCUUGAUCGGAGCACAUGAGACACAUAAUACCAAAGUGGAGCAUUGAUAACAAUCUGCCAGUGGAAAGCAAGAAAUUAACAUAUACCACAUUGUAAUUAGCAAGUGCAGAGUUUUGCUACUUACAUUCUUUUGAAUGAGCUCAGGAUAGUUGUCCUGUAACAAGAGCAGAGUUUUGCUACUAAGCGAACGAAGCUCCUUAAAAUCGGGGCCUGGGGAAUCCUUCAAAUCCGUAAUCUGAACCAUCGAAUCAACCCCUCUCUUGAAGUUGAGCUUCUUGAUUCCCUUUUCAAUGAAUUGAACUCUCCACCUCAAAAACUGUUGGCGUCUUGCUUCAGACCCGAAUGUUUUCUUGUACAAGUCUUUGUCCUUGAAAGGUCCAUACGAAGUGUAACACAAAGGGUGGCCAUCUUUGUCUCUACUAUUUAUGCACACCACGUCUUCAAGACCAGAGACUCCUAAAUCUUCUUCCAGAAUUUCAUCAGUCCUGAAUUCUUUUCGCCAUUUCAGGGUUCUUUUCAGCAUUUCAAAUGCGUCGCUGGUCUUGUAAUCCCGGGCUUUCAAGAAUUUGAGGAGCAAAACAUCAGUGCCUUGAUGGCCUUUGCUUGGCAACAAAGGCACACCCCAUAGGGUAAUCUCCUUGAGUUGUUCUUUCUGCCUCAAGCUUUCAUUUCGGCUAAUCCUUCUGCUGGGUUUUCCGAGAAUGUAAUUCCCCAUAAUUGCAUCUUCAACUCUGCACCGGAAUUCCAUCAAGGCUUUCCUCUUCUUCUUCUUCAUUGACGCAGAAGCAGCUUUGGUUUCCUCAUCAUCCUCUAUAGCUCUACGUUCAACAUCUUCUUCAUCACUAUCCGGACAUAAUUCCCGGGGGCUUUCCAAGAUGUAGUCAUUAGGCUGAUCAUAAUUUCCCAGAGGCGAGUCAAGCUCUUGCUCUCUGCCCUGGUAAUUAGCUUCAUUUUUCAUUUUGGGUCUCCUGAUCAUUCAUCUCCCAUUGUCAAAUAUAGAGGAGAUUGAAAUCCCCGGCAUUCAGAGUUUCCGGGGAAACUGAAUAUUGGUGGUGCUCGGAUUCAAUGAUGGGGAGUUGAGAACGACGAACACAAAAAGUUUACAUCUUUCCUUUCUCUAUUACCUCAAGCUCAAGAAAGGCCUGGCGCCAAAUUUAGGUUGGACAAUCGUAGUAACUAACGGUGAGAUUGGAACAGGCUUUUUUACAAGUGUUUUAAACUUUUAUCCCCAAUUCAUCGGGCUUGGCUGGCAUACAAUUAGUGGUUGUUGUAAAUAGAUUAGGUUCCAAAUGCAAGUCAAAUUUAGUAUUUGAGUUUCAACACUAAACCCUUAAUCCAACUCGUUGCCUAACAAUGUGCAAGAAUCACUGUCCAAGUCAAAAUUUUGCCUUGCUGGGAUAAGGGAUCUAAGAACAUCUCCAAAAAAGAGAUAGAAAAACACAAUUGUACAAAAGCAACACCAUGGAAACGGUGUUAUGUCGUAAAGGUGCAACAAGUUAUUCAAGUUAUUAGAUUUGCAAAGGUCACCAUCUGUCCUCAAAAAAGGUCACAAACUGAUCUCCACUGUCCUGGUAUGGGAGGCAUUGACAAUAGAAUGAGAAGAACGAAAGAAAAGGGGAACAACUUACAAGCUAAUACUAAACAGAUGGUUGCUGGAGAAAGAAAAGAGACAAUGGCUGAGAUUAAUCCUCUACAUUCUGGGAAGUUCGAUGCAUUAUCUUGUCCUCCUUGACUAAUUCACAACCUGUAGCAGUGAUUUUUACAUCCUAAUACAGCGAAACCUAACUGCUGAUUUCCAUGCCUAUGAAAAGAAUGUAACCUGAACGGCCGUUGAAAUCUUGUAAUCAUAUUUACAGUGAAAUGGGAUGUGAAAUGAUUGAUCUGUAUCUAUAUAACAAGUCAUUAUCCAACUGCAGACUGGGAGCUGCUGCAUUACUCCUCUCGAAAUCUAGUCAAGUCAAAUGACAUGGUUUUGGAACAACUGCAAUAACAGCAGCACAAUUAGCGCGUUAAGAAACUAUAAUAUAAAUCCUCAAGAUAUAACCAUGUGACGUGCUCAAAUUCUUGUCUGAUGCUCACCUCAUGUCAGCGUCCCUGAAAACCCCAACCAGAGCUUCAGCCUUGUCAUAGAAGCUAUCUUUUAGAGAUAUUACAAUACUCUGAAAACCAUUGCCUCCUUCCGUAUCCUGGUUAACCCUGGCUCCUUGGCAAGACUUUGAACGGAUGAAUCGAGCAACUUUUGCUACAUUUAAGUUAUCCAGUGCAGCAUCAACUUCAUCCAGUAUGAAGAAAGGCGAAGGCCUAUAGCUGAAGCAUUCAUGAAAACAAAUGUGGAAAAACAAUUAAUUACAGGCUCUUAUCUACAGUGUAAAAGAGUAGAAACCAAAAACUAGAACAAAACUUUCGUAGUGGAACAGCGUACAUAUUGGUGAAAGGAAGACCAAAAGCCAGAAACUCCACAAUCCCCACCCAAAAAUAUUCAUAACUAUUGAAGCAUGUGCUCUAUGUAUCUACUGCAAGGCCUACCCAGAAUCUUUUGUUCUUGGAUGUCUUUAAAGGUAAACACUAUAUAUGAUUAACAUAUACCUGUGUAUGGCAAACAGUAAUGCUAAUGCUGCAACAGUUUUCUCUCCGCCAGAUAAUUGUUCCAUAUCUCGAAAGCGCUUUGUUGGGGGCAUAGUAGUGUACUUGACGCCAUGUAGAUAUGGAUCAUCUUCAUUUUCUAAAUUCAAAUAUGCCGUCCCACCAAGUGGAUGUGUAUUGCUCUUCGUCAGUUGCUUGUAUAUCUUAUCAAUAUUACUAGAAAUAUGGUUGAAGGCAUCCAUAAACUUCUCAUACCUGCAUUGACCAAAUAAACCAUUACAAUCAAAUGUCAGGGAAAAAAUAGAAAUCAGUUGCGUAGUGGGCAUAUUUGUCACUUACGUGAUGAUUUCUUUCACUUUCUGUCGACAGUAAACAUUGACCAUUCCUAUUACUAGUUUCUAUCCAUAAAGUUUGUCUUACGAAACCCAAUAAUGUGCAAUCAUGUAUAGUCAACUACAUUAUGAUAAUUAGACAAUCCAGUAGCAGUGUAAAAGCAAUCAAUACCUGCUUUGCUUAACCGAGUUAAACAGAUCAGCCUUUUGCUUCUGUUCUUUUCUGGCCACUUCAAACUCUGCAGUUAUAUCUCUUUCCUUUUCUUGUAGAGCCUCAUAUUGGUCCAUGGCCUUCAAAUUGGGAGCUGUUCUUUCUAUUUCUGAUAGCUUGGCAUCCAUUUGUUUCUUAAAGUCUAACUCGACUUUCUCCCGCUCAGAAGGCCUCCUAUCUCUCAAUAGAGACUCAUCUAACUCAUCAAAAUCAAAUACUGGGCCCGUUGUGGAGGAGUCAGUCUCCAUUGGAUCUGAGAUGAUAGGAAGGCUUAUUUGCUGAAGUUCACAAUUUUCUACUAUCUCCUGCUUCCGAGAUGUUAGCUGCUCAAUCUGAGUUUCCUGUAAGGCACGAAAAAAAUGUUUAGGGAUUCAAAUUAACAUGGUACAGAAGUGUCGCAAACAAAACCAAAUGCCAACCUUAGAAUUUAUCUGUCGAUUAAGUUUGGAUACAUUUGUUGUAGCAGUAGAACCCCGCUUGUUCCAUUCUUGAAUUUCCUUUUCACACCCUUCCGACUUGGAUUUCCACUCUACAUUAAUAGUGAGAGAUACAACUUUAUGAACUAAAAAGAAAGGAUAAAGUGGGUUUGCGACUCGUUUGAACAACUUGGGAAAAAGACAGAAAAAGAACAACAACCAUGAGAUCAAGUCCCGCGCUCAAGGCCUAAAAUCUGAGAAUUUAAGUUCUCCAAAAAAAAUACAGUACCAUGCCGAACUUUUAUCAUACCUUGUGCAUCUUCCUUCAACUGCUCAAUCUCAGCAGAGGCUUUUUCAGCUGCAGAGUUGGCUUCAAAUUCUUUCUUUUGAACCCAUUCUAAAUCUUUUUGUAGAUUACUAAUAGAUGAUUGGAGUUCUUCAAUUCGUGUAGCCAUGUCCCGAUUUUGCUCAUACUCUAGCCUGAAAGCAAACAAAGACCAGUAUUUUACCAUAAAAUAUGAGCAAGUGCCAAAGCUGUCAUACAACAAGUACACCAGAAACAAUAGUGGUGAAACUGGGCAGAUUGUUUGGGUUUGAUAUUUGAGUACUUCAAUAGAACCUGUGGUCAAUCUAAAAAGUUAAAACAAAAUUUUCAAAGACUUUACAGCCCUACAAAGAACUUGUAACUGGACAGCGUCAAACAUCUCUCAUCUUUAGUGAUCACUGCUUUCUAAAAAAGUCGUGUGAUAAUAGACACGACAGCGUUCUUUAAAGAUGAUCAAGACACAUCAAAAAGAAUAUAUGGUGGGGAGCGAGGAAAACCAACUGACUAAUUGGCCCAAUACUUGUAGUUGGUUGUUUCCUCAGUCAAAGUACUUGUAGUUCAUCAGAAUGUUAAAGCACAAUUUGAAGAUGCAUAAAUGCAUGCACAUUCAUACAAUAGUGUGGGAAUCAAUGAUCAAGUUAUAUAUCACAUAAUUCAUGCAUGUGUCCAACAUAAUAUACACAACUCACAUUCCACUGUAUGCCCAAAAUAAAAUAAUUACCAACAUACAACAGUAAAAUUGACAAAAGAUAAAAUAUAGGGAAGAACAUACUGGUAUUUCAAUUUUGAUAGCUGGCUACUCAAACUAAGCCUCUCUUCAGCCAUAGAUUGGGAAACCUUGAGUUGUUUUUCUUCAUACUCACGAAUGUUAUCUACCCCAACAGAUUUACUAAAGCCUUUGUAGAGUCUGUCAACAAUAUCAUUUAUCCUCUUCUCAAGCUUAUUGAUUUCUGUGCUCCGCUUAUCUACAGCUUGUUUUAGCUGCAAUCAUUUUUAAAACUGCUGUGUGAAACAAAAUGCUAGAAUAAGCUAGAGAAAACAGUAAUCAGGGAAAUACCUUCAGAAGAUCAGGACUGAUACGAUCAAUCUCUUCUUUUAUGUUCUGCCUCUCCCGCGCCAAAUUUGCAAGUUUGUCCUUGAUGCUUUUCUGUGAAAAAACUCAUCUUAGUUUUGAAUCCACUAGAAGGAACCUCAUGUUUAGCUUAAUUAAGAUAUAUCAAAGUAAAAGACUGAAAAACUAUUCACCCACCCUCCCACACCCAAAGCACAAAGGAAAAACUAAAAUAGAAUAAAUAGCAUUCAUCUCCACUUUAUAAUUAAAAGACCAAUACCAACCCUUCCCAUCAAGUCUAAUUCAUCUUAUUUGAUAAACCACACACAAGUGACACAACCAGACAUAAAACAGCUUCAAAGUUCAACCUGCAUCUUCUAGAUUUGGUGUCUGGGUAUGGAUAUAAAACUACCUUACCUGUAGAAUAGGAGUGAAAAAAAAAAGAUACAAGUAAAUCCUUGCAAUUACCUUCUCAAUAUCUGCAUAUUGGAUUUUCUUAUCAAGCCCACUAAGUCUGCCAGCUGUUUCAGACUCUUUUAGCUGCAUCUCUCUAAUUGACCCAAGCUCUUCUAGCUCCAACUCAAACUGUUCUUUCUUCUUCUUCAGUCCUAAACAACAAACAGUUAAACCACAUCAAAAAUUACCAGACCAAAAUUCAAAUGACAAUACAGCAAUUCAAAACUCACCUUCGACUUUUUUAUCAUCCCACUGUUUUGACCUAGCUUCCAUUCCUCCACUGGUACCACCAGUCAUUGUGCCAGAUUUUGACAGCAUAAUUCCAUCAACAGUUACAACUAAUUAAAGGGGGAAAGAGAAAAAAAGUUAGAUGCUGGCUAAAUAAAAACAUGCCUGACACAGAUACUUAACGAUAACAAAGUUGAACGCAUUACCUUUGAACCUCUCACCACUCCAGCUUAGGCGCUUAGCCUCAUCAAGUUCGUCACAAACGAGAGUAUUGCCAACCGCAAAGAGAAUAGCCUUCUCCAAGGCAUGAUCAAAUGUAUGGUUGUUAAGUAGACAAACUAAUAGCACCUCUUCGUAGAUUCUCAUGCAGAAAAUAGUUUUCUUACAAACAGAAAAACAUACAAGGAAUACAGGCAACAUACAUCAAGGACAGUACAUAGCAUAGUGAUCAGGAGGAUGAUCUAAAACAAUAGCUAACCACGAAAUGAUGAAGGUGUGAGCGUGCUUCUAUGCAUUAACAUGUUCCAUCUAAAUAAAUGCAGAGACGAUACUAAUCUGGAUGAUUAUACUCAAACUCUUUGUGGGAGAAAGCCAGAGGAAUGAUGAGUUACAUGAAGAAAACUUGUGCCAUAAAUGGAAGAAAAGAAUGAGAACAGAAAAUCAUCCAAGUUGAAAGGGAAAAGAAUUAAAUAAUUUUUUUUAAAAAAAUCAACAAGAAUAAAACACAUAAUGGGAUCCUAAUGCAAGUCUAUAAUAGAACACAAGUUGUUCAAUUUUUUUAGUUAUUUAAAAGUUCCAUAAUUUCUUCUAGAAAAAUAUAUGUUUUCGAUAACCAGAGUUCCACUACCCAAAAACAAUAAUGCACCAGAAAUUAGCAGCACUAACCGGCCCAGAUCAAAGAUACUCUCUUACUGCAUAUGAUGGAAAACAUGAAAAUGUAAUACAACAUAUAUAUACACACACAAAAAUAUAUGUAGUUAUGUAUAUAGAUCAAUCACACAUAACAUCUCUGCCUAUUUCUAUGCAUACAAAUAAAGAGCUAUACAAUGUGCACUACACACAUCCUUUUCACACAGACAUGCAUGCAUGCAGACAAACACCAACAAGAUUACACAAAAAUGUAAAUCUUCAACUACAGAGUUCGGAACAAACAAAAGUUUGGACACUAAACCAAUGUAGGCUUUUGUAGAAG
rnacentral:lncRNA from 1 species